AUUGAACGCUGGCGGCAGGCCUAACACAUGCAAGUCGAGCGGAUGAACGGAGCUUGCUCCUGGAUUCAGCGGCGGACGGGCGAGUAAUGCCUAGGAAUCUGCCUGGUUGUGGGGGAUAACGUCCGGAAACGGGCGCUAAUACCGCAUACGUCCUGAGGGAGAAAGUGGGGGAUCUUCGGACCUUACGCUAUCAGAUGAGCCUAGGUCGGAUUAGCUAGUUGGUGGGGUAAAGGCCUACCAAGGCGACGAUCCGUAACUGGUCUGAGAGGAUGAUCAGUCACACUGGAACUGAGACACGGUCCAGACUCCUACGGGAGGCAGCAGUGGGGAAUAUUGGACAAUGGGCGAAAGCCUGAUCCAGCCAUACCGCGUGUGUGAAGAAGGUCUUCGGAUUGUAAAGCACUUUAGGUGGGGAGGAAGGGCAGUAGGUUAAUACCUUGCUGUUUUGACGUUACCAACAGAAUAAGCACCGGCUAACUUCGUG
rnacentral:rRNA from 1 species